GUUGGCUUGGAAGCAGCCAUUCCUUUAAAGAGUGCGUAACAGCUCACUGGUCAGCGACCGGGCAUCGAUAAUACGCGGGCAUCAAGCUAGGCACCGAAGCGCGGGAUUUACACUUUGUGUAAGUGGUAGGGGAGCAUUCUGGUUGCGGAGAAGCCGUGCUGUCAGGCAUGGUGGAGCGUCCAGAAAAGCACAUGUAGGCAUGAGUAACGAUAAAAUGGGUGCGAAACCCAUUCGCCGAA
rnacentral:rRNA from 1 species